UCUCCAUAAGAUUAGCUGGGAGCAUAUUUAUUGCUCAUCUGAGCUAGAAUUACCUUGACUGACAGCAAUUUCCUUAAUAACCAACGCCUGUAAACAAAACGGCCUCUACCUGCGCCCCUGCGCUGUGCGGGCACUGUCUCCUGUUCUUGGGUCUCCCUGGACUGCCCUGGCAGGGCACCCACCUUCUAACCUCCUGCUCUCCCCGACUGGAAUGUCUCCCUUGCUGGAGGGUGGGACCGAGCUGCUAUUUAGAGUUGUCUGUUGCAGGAAGUCUGGGAGGUGAGUCACUAAAAAGCAGCCCCAGUUCAAAGUGCUGAUGGGACUUGCCUCCCGCCCCCUGCACGCUCCCGGGGCCGGAGGAGCGAGAGCGAAGCCGGGAGCUGCCCUGUAAUCUGGGGCAGCCGUUUCCAGCCCGCGACUUGUUCAGGCGGCGAUUCCUGGCCUCACCCCGGAGAUUCUGAUUCAGCAGGGCUGGGUGCGCUGGGAUCGGCGCUUUUACUGCUGCGCCUGGGUGAGAAAGUCACUUCGAAAAACGCUGAUCUGCGGGGAGGGGAGGCUGGGAUUGCCUCGUCACCUGCAAAGACCUAGAUGGGGGAGAGGUUCUGCAGGUGAGGAUCUUCCUUCUGGGUGAAUUGGGUAAGGCCACUGGAAGAGCAAAAGGCUGGAGAGGCUUAGGAUGAGAAACUGCCCUACCCUGAAGGCCUGGAUUUGGACACUUACUCCUUCCCGUGACCUUGUCAUGGGGGUUCUAUUACCCCAUCUUCCGGGUUACCCAGCCAGGAAGUGCAGGAGGGAGGAAUCCCAAUCCUGACCUCUUCCCACACUGACCGGACGGGAGAAGUGGAGGAUGGAGCUCAGCUAAGGGUUGCAGAGACUCCCCACCGCCUCCAAGAGUCUGACCAAGGGCGGACCACUGUCCCUGUCUGACCCAGGGCAGGACUCUAUUGUGGUGACGGCCUCCUCCCAUCUUCGAGGACUGUAAAGAUGGGAAAGAGAUUCCAGCCUGGGAGAGACAGGCCUUUCCCACCCAGCAGCGGCUGGUGUCCGCCAGGCCUGCGAAGAAGCCUGGAAAGGUCUGAAGACAGAACCAGGCAGCAAAAGCGGGCUUUGCUCAUCUGUUGUCCUCGGAGCCGCCUAGUGGCCCAGAUAGGACACUGCGCCUCCAAGCUGCCCAGCCUCCAGCCUCCCGGCGCUCCUAACUACCUGUGCUUUUCUUCCAGAUAAGGAAAACUGAGCAUGGAGGAGGUGAAGCUACCCAGGCAAUGGAGGAGCCUGUGGGCCAGAAGACUCGGACCCAGGAAGGGUAAACUAAUUUAAACAAUCACAUAAACAAAACCCGAGGAAGAGGCAUCUGCUGCUCUAAGAGUCCCAUAAAUCAGGUGUCAUCACUGUAGAGUUUGUCUCUGUGGGGACUAUAUGGCUGUAUUUCAAGGCUCAGUUCAUUCAGCACCACUUCCUAUAAGCUAUUCUCGGGCUGCUCCCUUCCUCAUGUCCAGGAUUGGGUCCUACCCCUUUUUGAACCUCUUGGAAUAACAAUUGCUAUUACUUGUUGGGGGUCUACUAUACCCUCAUUUCUGUUUUAGUGAAUUUAUAAGCACAGUUGUCCAUUGGUAUCUUUGGGGGAUUGGUUCUAGGACUUCUCAGAUGCCAAAAUUUAAAGAUGCUGGCCAGGCGCAGUGACUGACGCCUGUAAUCCCAGCACUUUGGGAGGCUGAGGCGGAUGAAUUACAAGGUCAGGAGUUCAAGACCAGCCUGGCCAACAUGGUGAAACCCCCUCUCUACUAAAAAUACAAAAGCAAAUAGCUGGGCAUGGUGGUGCGCACCUGUAGUCCCAGCUACUUGGGAGGCUGAGGCAGGAGAAUUUCUUGAACUGGGACCCGAGAAGGGGAGGUUGCAGCAGCCGAGAUUGCACCACUGCAUUCCAGCCUGGGCUACAGAGUGAGACUCCGUCUCAAAAAAAAAAAAGCUCAAGUCAGAAGUCAGUUCCUGAUAUAAAAUGGCAUAUUUACAUUUAAGCUGCGUGUGGUCCCUUAUACUUUAAAUCCCCUUUACAUUACUUGUAAUACCUACUACAGUCAGGUGCUGUGUAAAUAUUUGUUGUACCAUGUUGUUUAGGGAAUGACAAUCAGAAAAAGGAAAGGCUGCACAUGUUCAGAAUGGACACCACUUUUCCCUGCAGUUUUUUUGAUCUGAGGAUGGUUGAUCCCUGGAUUGAGUCUGUGACUGAAUCACUGCACCCAAGAAUGCAGAGAUCUGACUGUGUAACUCAUUUAAUGCUCAAGACGGAAGCCACCGUUGCACAGUUACGGCAGGAAGAGAAAUCUGACAUGGCCGGCUCCAUCUUGCUUCUGACCUCGCAGUCUGGCUGUCUUGGAUCAUUACUCGGCAUAGGCCAAGUUAACUUUGGGAGAAACUUAGUUUAUAGUUUAAAUGAUAGUAGCCCUUUGGAAAAACUAAACUGCCUUGUAAAAUUAAUGAAAGGCCAUCAAGUUAGGAGGGCAGAGGGGCCCACAUUCUGCUAAGAUGUAGGUAUAGUUACAUGAUUACCAGCCAUUAUUCCAGAGGCCACGAGAUUUGCAACUUCCCCAAUUUCUCCUGCAGAUGACAUCACCAUUGUGGAACCUAGGGUUGGCCUUUGACAUGUCUUCAGGGUUUUGUAUUUCUGACUGCCAGAUGGCCCCACCCAGAGGUUUUUGGUGGUCCCCACUCAGAAACAGACUUAGCGCUCAAGGACUGUUUUCCUAAUUGCAUCCCCAACCAAUCAGCAUGCCCCCUUCCUUUGCCCCAGCUUGCCAAACUAUCCUUGAAAAACCAGCCGGGUGUGGUGGCUCACACCUGUAAUCCCAGCACUUUGGGAGGCUGAGGUGGGCAAAUCACCUGAGGUUGGGUGUUCGAGACCAGCCUGACCAACAUGGAGAGACCCCAUCUCUACUAAAAAUAUAAAAUUAGCUGGGUGUGGUGGCGCACGCGUGUAAUGCCAGCUACUCAGGAGGCUGAGACAAGAGAAUCGCUUGAACCCAGUGUUAAAAUGCAUGCUUUGAAUGAAGAAACCCCCCAAACAGGCUCUGUGUGAGCAACAUGGCCGUUUAUUCACCUGGUGCAGGUGGGCUGAGGCUGAAAAGGGCGUCGGCGAAGGGCAGUGGGAUAGGAGUUGGUUUUAUAGGUUGGGGCAAAUAUUUUGGGGCGGGGACAGGGGUGUUACGGAGUAAGAUCAGUUACAGUGGUGGAGGCAGGGGCAAGGAAUAUACAUUACCUUAAGUUCACUUACCAUGGCGGGUGGGGUAAGAUGUAAGAGCAGUUAAGAUGGCAGGGUGGGGCUGGAGUAUUCACAUUAUUAUAAGAACAGUUAAGAUGGCAGGGUGGGGUGAGGAGUAUUCACAUUAUCAUAAUAACAUAAUAACUCCCAACAGCAGGGUGGGAAGAGAAGCUUAAUGUCUGGGGAAAGCUCUGCUGGGUGAUUACGGAUCAUGGCAAACACCGGCGGGAUUGGGGGGUGAUCAGCAGAGGCAGGCAGGACUUCAGACUUUCUGGGUCCAAGCUUGCACAUGGUGGCCUGACAGCCAGGAGGCAGAGGUUGCAGUGAGCUGAGAUCACACUGUUUCACACAGCCUGGGCAACAAGAGCAAAACUCCAUCUCAAAAAAAAAGUAAAAAAGAAAAACUUUUAA